AAUUCCAUAGUUUUCUUUCCUCCAGGCCUAAUUUUCUCUUCUUGACCAGUCCAUGCGGUAGUUCCCAUGGAAAGAUUUCCAUUUUGGUUGUGUGUUACCACAUGUUGCCUUGAGUUCUUGGCCAGACGGUAAAAGGCAUCACGAAAGCAAAUUCGAGUCUUCUCUGUCAACUGUGCCAUCACCAUUUCCAGCUCCUGUAAAACAGAUUCUUCAAGAGAUGUUUCCUCAUCCUCAUGUUCAUUCAUAUUUUUAUGCUCAGAAGGGGCCAAGACUUUGAUUACCGGUUC
rnacentral:misc_RNA from 1 species